UAAAAUAUUCUUUUUUAGAGAAGAUUCACGGGUAUUGUCAUUCAAUCAUUCUCUGGUUCAUCAUUCUCACUUCUCUCUCCUCAUAUUUCCUUUCUCUCUCCUCGGAUCUUAGAACUCAAAAUGGCGAUUAACCCCUCUCGUUUCUCUGGUUUAUCUCUCUCAUCUUGGUUCAUCUCUCUCAUUUCUCUCUCCUCUUAUUUCCUUUCUCUUUCCUCAGAUCUGAGCAAUUAAAAUGGUCAAUUAAAAUGCGUUUAGGCGAUUACUAAACAACAAUAAACAAUUUGUCAAAACCAAAUUCUCUUUGCUGAAUCGACGAUUACCCAGAAAUGUUUAGCAUGUGAUAACUCAUUGAAGCGUUUUGCUGGGCGGGGCGUCAGACGGUCAGAGGCGACGGGCGAGGCGCUAGUCGAGGCAAUGGCGAGGCGCGGGGAGUGAGGGACAGCUGCUGCAAGCAGUGCUAUGGGGGUAGGCUGCGGUUUUUGCUGAAAUUGUUAAAAUGGCUCAAAAUUUAUGGUUUACCUGUCGCCUUGUUUAUGUUCCAGAGCCUGGGAAUCGGGAGAAGAUAUUACUUACGUCUAUCGGCGCGACUUAAAGAACAAUGAUGGAGUUUUUGGAACUGGUAUACUGAAUUACUGAUUUUAUGCAGAUUUUUUGUUUUAAUUUUCUUGGUUUAGACUGAUUUUGAUUUAAUUCAGUCGAAUGUCAAUUUGAUUUAAUUUGGCAAUUGUAAUAAUUUGUAAUAAGAUUUUCACAGCUGGGUCUUUGUGUGAUGUUCUUGGCUGGGUUUUGUGUGAUGUUCUUGGCUGGGUUUAUGCGUUAUUUUUUUAUCUGUGGGUAUAUGCGUUUUCUUGGCUGUGGGUUUAUGCGUGAUUUUCUUGGCUAUGGGUUUUAGCAAUUUUUCGUGGCUGGAUUUAUGGGUGAUACUUCCUUAUUUGCUUUUUAUUUUGACUUUAUUGACAGACUUUUCUGUAUUGGGAAAGAUUUCAGAAUUACAGGAUUCUUUCAUUUUCUUUUUUUAUCUUCCUUGCCUGAUUUCCUGAUUGAUUGACGUUUAAACAUAUUCCCUUCCCAAAAUAGAUUUUCAGUUUCAAAAUCAGUAAUUAAUCGAUUUUUAAAAAUAAUAGAUAAUCAGAA